CGAGCGGAGAGAGGUAGCUUGCUACUGAUCUUAGCGGCGGACGGGUGAGUAAUGCUUAGGAAUCUGCCUAUUAGUGGGGGACAACAUUUCGAAAGGAAUGCUAAUACCGCAUACGUCCUACGGGAGAAAGCAGGGGAUCUUCGGACCUUGCGCUAAUAGAUGAGCCUAAGUCGGAUUAGCUAGUUGGUGGGGUAAAGGCCUACCAAGGCGACGAUCUGUAGCGGGUCUGAGAGGAUGAUCCGCCACACUGGGACUGAGACACGGCCCAGACUCCUACGGGAGGCAGCAGUGGGGAAUAUUGGACAAUGGGCGGAAGCCUGAUCCAGCCAUGCCGCGUGUGUGAAGAAGGCCUUAUGGUUGUAAAGCACUUUAAGCGAGGAGGAGGCUACUUUAGUUAAUACCUAGAGAUAGUGGACGUUACUCGCAGAAUAAGCACCGGCUAACUCUGUGCCAGCAGCCGCGGUAAUACAGAGGGUGCAAGCGUUAAUCGGAUUUACUGGGCGUAAAGCGCGCGUAGGCGGCUAAUUAAGUCAAAUGUGAAAUCCCCGAGCUUAACUUGGGAAUUGCAUUCGAUACUGGUUAGCUAGAGUGUGGGAGAGGAUGGUAGAAUUCCAGGUGUAGCGGUGAAAUGCGUAGAGAUCUGGAGGAAUACCGAUGGCGAAGGCAGCCAUCUGGCCUAACACUGACGCUGAGGUGCGAAAGCAUGGGGAGCAAACAGGAUUAGAUACCCUGGUAGUCCAUGCCGUAAACGAUGUCUACUAGCCGUUGGGGCCUUUGAGGCUUUAGUGGCGCAGCUAACGCGAUAAGUAGACCGCCUGGGGAGUACGGUCGCAAGACUAAAACUCAAAUGAAUUGACGGGGGCCCGCACAAGCGGUGGAGCAUGUGGUUUAAUUCGAUGCAACGCGAAGAACCUUACCUGGCCUUGACAUAGUAAGAACUUUCCAGAGAUGGAUUGGUGCCUUCGGGAACUUACAUA
rnacentral:rRNA from 1 species